GCUUUUCUAUGAAGCUUCUCAGUGAAUUUAUCCUCCAACACCUCUGUGAGCUAGGAAUGAAGAGAGGAAAGAAGUCAGGAUGAAAGUUAACAACUCUCACUCUCAAAUGUGGACAACAGAGGAAAUUGAACUUCUAAUUCAAUUAGAGAUUAAAUAUGCUGAAACUAGGAAUAUUAAUGAGAAGGAACUGAAGACAGAAACAAAGAGAUUGUAGACAAGAAAAGAGACUGGGCUUUAAAAACAGGCUAAAAAAGAAUUAAUGAAAGUGGCUCAAGAUUCAGACAAUCAACUUGGUGGAAUCAUACUGGAAGUUCCAACACCAGCUGCAAAUAUUUCAAGCCUCCCUCCUCCAUUCCAAAGACGAUCUCAGAUAAGACAAUGAAAAAAACCCCACA